GUGGACUUCACCAAGGGAAGGGAAUCUCUCAUCAUUCUGGAAGACUGUGCCAGCACUAAGUCUGUGAAGGAUCGGACGGGAGAGCUGAUUAACCUCGGCUUUAGCGCACGUCACAUGAGUAUUUCCACUAUUGUUAUUACCCAACAGCUGACCUCUAUUGCUAAGCCGUACAGGCAGAAUAUUUCAAAAUUGGUGACGUUCUAUAAUCCGAAUAGGCAGGA